rnacentral:rRNA from 1 species
UGGAUUGGUGCCUUCGGGAACUGUGAGACAGGUGCUGCAUGGCUGUCGUCAGCUCGUGUUGUGAAAUGUUGGGUUAAGUCCCGCAACGAGCGCAACCCUUAUCCUUUGUUGCCAGCGGUCCGGCCGGGAACUCAAAGGAGACUGCCAGUGAUAAACUGGAGGAAGGUGGGGAUGACGUCAAGUCAUCAUGGCCCUUACGACCAGGGCUACACACGUGCUACAAUGGCGCAUACAAAGAGAAGCGACCUCGCGAGAGCAAGCGGACCUCAUAAAGUGCGUCGUAGUCCGGAUUGGAGUCUGCAACUCGACUCCAUGAAGUCGGAAUCGCUAGUAAUCGUGGAUCAGAAUGCCACGGUGAAUACGUUCCCGGGCCUUGUACACACCGCCCGUCACACCAUGGGAGUGGGUUGCAAAAGAAGUAGGUAGCUUAACCUUCGGGAGGGCGCUUACCACUUUGUGAUUCAUGACUGGGGUGAAGUCGUAACAAGGUAACCGUAG